rnacentral:rRNA from 1 species
AACGGGGAGGAGCCCAGAGCCUGAAUCAGUGUGUGUGUUAGUGGAAGCGUCUGGAAAGGCGCGCGAUACAGGGUGACAGCCCCGUACACAAAAAUGCACAUGCUGUGAGCUCGAUGAGUAGGGCGGGACACGUGGUAUCCUGUCUGAAUAUGGGGGGACCAUCCUCCAAGGCUAAAUACUCCUGACUGACCGAUAGUGAACCAGUACCGUGAGGGAAAGGCGAAAAGAACCCCGGCGAGGGGAGUGAAAAAGAACCUGAAACCGUGUACGUACAAGCAGUGGGAGCACGCUUAGGCGUGUGACUGCGUACCUUUUGUAUAAUGGGUCAGCGACUUAUAUUCUGUAGCAAGGUUAACCGAAUAGGGGAGCCGAAGGGAAACCGAGUCUUAACUGGGCGUUAAGUUGCAGGGUAUAGACCCGAAACCCGGUGAUCUAGCCAUGGGCAGGUUGAAGGUUGGGUAACACUAACUGGAGGACCGAACCGACUAAUGUUGAAAAAUUAGCGGAUGACUUGUGGCUGGGGGUGAAAGGCCAAUCAAACCGGGAGAUAGCUGGUUCUCCCCGAAAGCUAUUUAGGU